rnacentral:tRNA from 1 species
ACCAGGUUGGCUCAGUCGGUAGACCACAUGACUCUUGAUUGUGGGGUCAUGGGUUCGAGUCCCAUGUUGGGCA